rnacentral:rRNA from 1 species
UUCCGGUUGAUCCUGCCGGACCCCACUGCUAUCGGGAUAGGACUAAGACAUGCUAGUCGUGCGCUUCCAGCUAACAUGGAGGCGCGGCACACAGCUCAGUAACACGUGGCUAACCUGCCCUUGGGACGAGAACACCCCCGGGAAACUGGGGCUAAUUCUCGAUAGGUGAAGAACUCUGGAAUGAGUCUUUGCUUAAAAGAUGCUAGAGUUAUGCUCUUUGGCCUCGCCCAAGGAUGGGGCCGCGACCGAUCAGGUUGUUGGUGAGGUAAUGGCUCACCAAGCCUUUUACCGGUGCGGGCCGUGGGAGCGGGAGCCCGGAGAUGGGCACUGAGACAAGGGCCCAGGCCCUACGGGGCGCAGCAGUCGCGAAAACUUUGCAAUAAGCGAAAGCUUGACAGGGCUAUCCCGAGUGCCAUCCGCUGAGGAAGGCUUUUACCCAGUCUAGAACGCUGGGGAAUAAGGAGAGGGCAAGUCUGGUGUCAGCCGCCGCGGUAAUACCAGCUCUCCGAGUGGUGUGGAUGUUUAUUGGGCCUAAAGCAUCCGUAGCUGGCUAAGUUAGUCCCCUGUUAAAUCCAAUGAAUUAAUCGUUGGAUUGCGGGGGAUACUGCUUAGCUAGGGGACGAGAGAGGCAGACGGUAUUUCCGGGGUAGGGGUGAAAUCCUAUAAUCCCGGGAAGACCACCAGUGGCGAAGGCUGUCUGCUAGAACGCGCCCGACGGUGAGGGAUGAAAGCUGGGGGAGCGAACCGGAUUAGAUACCCGGGUAGUCCCAGCUGUAAACGAUGCAGACUAGGUGUUUGAAUGGCCACGUGCCGUUCUAGUGCCGCAGGGAAGCUGUUAAGUCUGCCGCCUGGGGAGUACGAUCGCAAGAUUGAAACUUAAAGGAAUUGGCGGG